rnacentral:miRNA from 1 species
ACUUUUGAACUGGAUUUGCCGA